UCCCUCCCUCUGCGCGCUGUCCCUGCGAGCCCUCCGUGCUGGGUCUGUGUCGUAUAGAUGGGCUAGAUGCAGAUGCCACACGCCAUUAGCCUACAGGUUGGAACGGCUGAAAGUUUGAUUUCACAAUUGUUGCCGUCUUUCCUCUUCUUCUUCUUCUUCUUCUUUUUCUUCUUCUCCUCUUCUUCUUCUUCUUCUUCUCCUCCUCUGCUUGGAUACCGCUGACUUAGGCAUUGGAUAUGUGCACACAGGAUGAUGACAACCCCUUUCCUCCCCGUAGAAGUAAAAUAAAAUAGGCUUUCGCACACACUGGAUUUACUCUUCUCGUUCCAUAUGAAGAAGCCAAAAAUUUGGAUACUGGUCUGUGUCCAUUUACUGCUGUUCAUCACGUUUGGGGUACAUUCAAGUAAAUUUGACGUCAACCCAGUGACAGAUGACAUCUCUAGACUUUCUAUUCUGAGACAAAAUAUUCCUAAAGAUUACAAAAUUCCUGUACACUACAUUCCAAAAGAAGAGGGAGGGAUGUGUUGGGUAAAAUUAAACGUCUUCUACUUGGAGGAGAGUUUGAAAGAUUUAGCACAUAAGUUUGGAAAUAUUUCAUCCAACAGAAGAGAUAUUAGCAUAUUCAACCAAAUGCUCGAAGAACUGCGGCUCAACAUGGGGUCUGUGGAGCCGAUCAUGUAUGAUUUUGAGUGCCACUACAGAAAAGACAGGUGGCAGACAGUGCGCUACUUUGACUUUGUCAAAGAUUUCCUUAUAGCUGCACAGAAUAAAGAAGAAUCCGAUGACUGUGAUCCUCCUCCCUGUCCUACAACACAAGACACAGUAACAACAGAAUAUUCAACAGAUUCGCCACUGCCCACCAAUAAAGGCACAACGUGUGCAGUCUGCACUACCGGGGAAACGAGCGCCCUGACUGAGGUGGUGGAGCGAAGCCUUCUCUCUUUACUUUUCAUUCCACUCCUAGCGCUCGUCUUCCUGCUCGUGUGGAAGGUCCGAUCACGGAGGGAUGAGCAGGAUCUUCAGCAGAAUCCGGAUGAAGGCGGACGCUUCACAGAAACAGAAGCGACUGCAGCUCCACUAGAUGCUGAAAUAUCAGAAAAAAACAAGUUGAACGUCAUUGAAAUAGUGUAACGCUUCCAUGUUCUUCAGCGCAAUUGGGUUCUUCGCUUUCCUCCUAAUGGUGUCCAAAGGUGAUGAAAAACAAACAUUAAGCUGAAAGGUAAAAGGCGCUUGCUGACUACGAUUAACGAGAGGGCAAAUUCCCAAUCGCCGCGGCCGAGAUGCUUCCCGAUAAACCACACCUGCCACUGAUGGAUGAGCUUGCGUUACUGCGUAGACCCCAUACUUUUGACAAAGACAGUGAGAUUUUUUGCAGAGAUAAACCUGCCCUUACCACACCCCACCCACUGGAUUCUCUGGCUCCUGCUAAUCAUCCAUCAACCCCCAUGAUUCAUUCUGAACUCUUGGAGUAAAACAUCCCCCUUCUGCAGGUUGCUCCAUCAGCCUGUGUUUUCGGGGCCACCGGUUCAUCAUCAGACAGUGAAGCGAAGAGUUACUGACACUGGUUAUCUCUUGUAUGAACUGAGGCACAAAUUACUACCUCUGGUGACCCUCAUGCUAACCGCAUCUUCAACCGCACUACAGUUUCCUCAUAGUCCUGGCUUUCCUAAAGAAUAUAAUGUUAAGCAUUGUUCCGAGGUAUAGUCCCAUUGUUUGGUUAAGGCAUGUACCCAUGAACUUCUACUAAAGGGUUACAUUUAAAGAACAAUCUAUAUUCAAACACAUCGUAAUCCCGACAAACACAGAACAGGUUACAUUUCCUCAUAUGUUGUCGUUGCCGUUGUCAUUGUUGUUGUUGUCGGUAUAUAUGACUCAGCUGAUAUCAGUUGUACGAAUGAAUUACAUGGAGAACAAAACGCAUAUAUACAAAAUCUGGUGCUUUGACAUACGUUUAGACCAUUGAAACCGGCAAUGACAUUCUGCUAACAAGUAUCAGGGAUGACUUCUGUGGAUCCAGGGAUUUGCUAAAACAAGGUGAAUUCAAAAAGUAGUUAGACGCAUGGAAGACAAUGAUUGGCCUCCCAUAGAAAAUGUUAGCUUUGCAAUGCCUUUAUUUUUACUUUUUUACUCAUGUCACCAUUUAUGCUCGUAUAGCAAAAACUGUUACAGAGAUUCGUUGACGUCCAUUCCUCUAUAAAAGGAAAAGAAACUAUAUUUCCACGUUUGUAAAAAGAGAACGAAUUAAUAAGAUUGAAUAUACAAAUGCUAUAUAAUGUAACAUUUUUAAUCAAGCUGUCAAUUCUUUAUUGUUCACUCAACGACCAAAUAUAUUUAUAAUGCUGACUUUGCCUUUGGUAUCAGUGUUGUGCUUGUAUAAUAAUUAAAAAAAACAGUAUAGACAAUCUGGCAAAAUUAGUUGGUGCAUUAAUCAAGAUUCAAAUGCUAAUGAAAUGCUGAAGAGUGAUACCACGGUUUAUGUCAUUUAAAGACACGCACCUUAGUUAUUCUCACAAUCAUCAAAGCUCGCAACAAAGGAAUGCCCUGCAGACCUAAAUAUCAAUUUUGCCUUAAAGUUGCGCCAUAAUACACUGUCAAAGGAAAAGCACUUCACACAUUGAACUGUCAAAAAGUCCUUUUUUUAACAGAAGCGUGGUGAGUUUUAGAGUUGUUUCUCUCCAGUUUACAAAGAUCCAUGUAAAGGGAAAUCUUUUCCUGGUAGUCACAUCCAAACAGUUUGCAUAAGAUUGGUUGAUCCAAGUUGCUAUAGCAAUUGCAGAAGCCCCGAGGCUCACUUUGAAAUAAUCAAUGUUCCCCAUGCCUCCUUUCUUUUAUGCACUGCCGGAUCUGAUAAGUUAUGAGCUGGAGGGGCUCCCUGUCUCAGAGAUAACAAAUCAUAUCACAGCUGUCAGAAAAAAGGCAACAGGUUUAAAAUAUUUCAACAAGUUGACUCCCACAAAGCCUUGCCCAACACAAAGUGAAGUAGGUUUGUGAUGGAUGCUAGGUGUUGAAAUGAUAUAUGACAGUGUGACUAUGUCUAUUUCGAGUAUUUCUUCAUGUUUGUGGUCUUAUGUUAUACCAUGUCCAAUCUUGGUUUUGUGCCUUGUUUUAUUAGUGUGAUUGACUAUGUGUGUAAAUUUCAAAAGCCUGUCUCAUGUUUCUGUGUGGUAGCAGAAAGUGCAAAGAUAAAAUACAGGGCAGAUUAGAAUAAAAUCCUAUAUUAAUCCCACAAUGGGGAAAUUCACACUAUCAUAACCCAACAGAUCUCUCUCUCCUUUUUUUUUUUUUUUAAUGAUCUCAUGACCUUUUAGAUGGCUUGACCCGUGCCCAGUUGAUUCGGAAAUCAGUGCUUCAGUAUGUAAAAACUCUUAUCGGCAGAAAAGCCCACAGUGGCUGGGCCAUUUCGCUCCAUUCAUUACAUUUUAGCCUUUGUAACCAUUAGGAAACUGUUCAACUGGUAACUAUGCUUGUUUCAUGUGUAUUUGUUCUAUAUGCUGGGAAUUUUCUUAUAGGAGGAGUAUAUUGUGCAAAAUAUGUGUUUGAAAAAAAAGUAUGCCACAUUGGUGUUCAUAUAGUUCAGACCUUUCAGCAUCAAUAGGCGGAAUUUGUUGAUGUGGUACAGUAUUGUUUAUGUUUAACUGCAAGAUAAUUUUAUUUAUUCAAAAUGCAUUUUUGAACAAUACUUUAUUAGCGACAUAUAUAAUAUGUACCAUAUUCUCUAUGGCAGUUUAGAACAAAUUCUGUGUUAUCAAAAAAAAAAUACCACGUGGGUGUUCAUAUAGUCCGCAUCAACAGUCCUAUUGACUUUUACCAGGGAUAUCUGAAAUAAAUGGUGUGGGGAAAGGAAGUACUCUUAUUUAAUAGUGUUAGCCAAUUGUUUUUAUUCAAAAAUGCAUUUUUGAACAAUAUUUGAGCAUAUUAUCUAUGGCAGUCUAGACCUGAGACUCUUACUUUAAUCAGCUUUAGGUUUCUCUCCUCAACAUAAAGACUAUUACCUGUAGUCCCCAGUAUUCUGACAGAGACACAGGCUAGUCUAGCCACAACCAAACUAACAAACAAGGUAUACUCUGUCAAAACUUGCUUUUUAUACAUAGUCUAUGAAUAUCAUGAGCUCCAACAGGUCUAAGCUGUGAACAGAAAAUAUAUAACAUGGUCUCCCAUUUUCCUGUCUAUGCGAGAGCCACAAAGUCUGUAUGUCUAAUGCAUGGAAGCCAGAAACCAAGCAAUUUCAUGCAUUAAUCGAGAGAAUGACGGCCCUUAAAUAUUGUUUCUAUGUGGGGUUUUUGCGUGGUCUUAGAGUGAACAAAGUGGCAUCCUGAACAGUGCUUUCGGGCUAAAGGGAUCCAGUCCAUCUCACUCACUUCAGUGGGUGAUUGAAAUGGCUCUAGGCAGGAAAUAAGACUGGGUGCCAAAAAAGCAAAUAUAAUUAUUGCCCGGUUGGUAUUCUGGGUAAAAACUCUACUGUUUUCUGUAUUUUUGUAUAAAUGUAAAGAAACAUAUAUGAGAUAUGAAUAAAGUACACAUAUUCAUUCAA